UACAGAGGGGGCAAGCGUUAUUCGGAAUUAUUGGGCGUAAAGGGCGCGUAGGCGGCCUGACAAGUGGAAGGUGAAAUCCCUCGGCUUAACCGAGGAACUGCCCUCCAAACUGUUUGGCUUGAGACCGGGAGAGGUGAGUGGAAUUCCCAGUGUAGCGGUGAAAUGCGUAGAUAUUGGGAGGAACACCAGUGGCGAAGGCGGCUCACUGGACCGGUACUGACGCUGAGGCGCGAAAGCGUGGGGAGCAAACGGGG
rnacentral:rRNA from 1 species